rnacentral:lncRNA from 1 species
CUUUCUCAGAACCACCUGGGCUCACUUGAGAUUCGUGGCCUUGAUUGUUUCAAGACUCCACCACGCUGCCUCUCCUGCUCUGGUGUGUCUUCCUCUGCCGGCUGCAGCCUAAAUACUGCCUCUCUAGAUCUCACCCACCACUUCCUGCUUCCAGAAAAUCAAAGCAGAAUGUCCCUGGACUUCAAGGGAGGAACUGCUUCUAACAGAGGGGACAAGAGAAACAGACUCCGCCCUUCUCCUCCAGGGCCAGGUAAGGAUGGAUGCAGUGUUAUGGGAAUUAUUGGUUCAGUCCCUGUAGGCAGAGCCAGAACCUAUGGGACCCUCUAACCACAUUUGAGUGAUGGUUGUCACCUGAGCACGAGGGAACAGGGAGGGGGUUGUCAGGAACAGUAUAAACUUCUAUGUAUGGCUAAAUCCCAGCCACACCCCAGGGAGACCAAUAGCACAGGCUGGGUGCUAG